rnacentral:rRNA from 1 species
GAGUUUGAUCAUGGCUCAGAUUGAACGCUGGCGGCAGGCCUAACACAUGCAAGUCGAACGGUAACAGGAAGAAGCUUGCUUCUUUGCUGACGAGUGGCGGACGGGUGAGUAAUGUCUGGGAAACUGCCUGAUGGAGGGGGAUAACUACUGGAAACGGUAGCUAAUACCGCAUAACGUCGCAAGACCAAAGAGGGGGACCUUCGGGCCUCUUGCCAUCGGAUGUGCCCAGAUGGGAUUAGCUAGUAGGUGGGGUAACGGCUCACCUAGGCGACGAUCCCUAGCUGGUCUGAGAGGAUGACCAGCCACACUGGAACUGAGACACGGUCCAGACUCCUACGGGAGGCAGCAGUGGGGAAUAUUGCACAAUGGGCGCAAGCCAGAUGCAGCCAUGCCGCGUGUAUGAAGAAGGCCUUCGGGUUGUAAAGUACUUUCAGCGGGGAGGAAGGGAGUAAAGUUAAUACCUUUGCU